CAGACCCAGAUUGUUAAUGUUAUUGUUGGGAAAGACAAAAAAGGCAGAAAGAUCCCAGAAUAUCUGAUCCAUUUUAAUGGCUGGAACAGAAGCUGGGAUAAGUGGGCAACUGAAGAUCAUGUGCUUCAUGAUACUGAUGAAAAUCGUAGAUUACAGCAUCAAUUGGCAAGAAAAGCUGUAGCUCGCCUGAGCAGCACAGGAAGAAAGAAGUGCUGCAGGUUGCCUGGUGUUGAUUGACUCUGUCUUAAAAGGCCUCCUCAUUGAUGAAAAAGAUGAAAAUGAUGAAAAUUCAUUAAGCAGUUCCUCUGGCAGCAGCAAAGGAUGAAGAAUAAGUGAAGAAAGUGAUAUUGAAGAAAAGACUGAAGUGAAAGAAGAACCAGAGCUUCAAACAAAAAGAGAAAUGGAAGAAACAACAGUAACUAUAGAAAUACCUGAAGUUCUGAAGCAGCAGAAGGAUGAUUGUUAUUACAUUAACAGGAGGAAAUGGUUAGUGAAACUUUCAUGCCAGACCAACAUCAUAAUGAUUUUGGAAGCAUUUUGCUCUCAAUGCAGCCUUUUCAGCCAAUGAGAGGCCUCGUCACCAUCAUGCUAUGCCACAUGCCAAUAUGAACGUGCAUUAUAUCCCAGAAGAAAAGAAUGUUGACCUUUUUAAGGAGAUGGUGGAUGGAUUAAGAAUAACCUUUGAUUACACUCUCCUGUUGGUUUUACUCUAUCCAUAUGAACAAACUCAGUAUAAAAAGGUGACUUUGUACAAGUUUUUUUUCCAAUUAAGGAAAGUGCCAUAAACACUAAUACGAUCCAGGAGGAACUCUCUCCCAGCCUGCCUUUGUUGAAUCCAUCCAUGCCACAGUCCACAGAGAGUCAGCCAACCAUUAGUGAACCAGCCACCCACAAAAGGCGCAAAGCUGAGUUGGAAGCAUUGCAGUCUCUGAGGUGGUCCCUGAGCCACACCACCAACUGUGACAGACUUUCUGACAGCAGCACCUCACCUCAGCCCAAGCGCCAGCAGCAGGACACAUCCGCCAGUAUAACCAAGCUGUUCCUGCACCUGGAAAAGAAGACACCCGUGCAUAGCAGAUUGUCUUCACCUAUUCCUCUGACUCCUAGCAAGGAAGGAAGUACAGUGUUCGCUGGCUUUGAAGGGAGAAAAACUAAUGAAAUGAACGAGGUCCUGUCCUGAAGCUUAUGCCUGACAAUUACCCACCAGGUGACCAGCCGCUUCCACCCUCUUACAUUUAUGGGGUAUAACAUUUGCUGCGAUUGUUUGUAAAACUUCCAGAAAUCCUUGGAAAGAUGUCCUUUUCUGAGAAAAAUCUGAAGGCUUUGUUGAAGCACUUUGAUCUCUAUUUGAGGUUUUUAGCAGAAUACCGUGAUUACUUUUUCCCAGAGUCAGCUUGUGUCGCUGCCUGUGAGGUGCAUUACAGCAGCAAGAAUCUCCGGGCAAUUUAUUACAGUGUUGAUGGUUCUGUAAGAACAACUCCUCUAUCUAGCUCAGCGCUCUGGGUUCCAGAUGAACAACUAUCAAGGUAGUGGGUCUUUACCCAGAGCACAAAUACAAUGCCCACCUGGCGGCUCUGACAGAGGUAGGCCCUGAGUUGCCCACAUACUGUAGUUAUUCUGUUAGGAAUUGUUUCCUGGGUGCCUAUAGUGCUCUGACACAACACUUGCUACUGUGCAGGCCAUCUGUGAUGGCAGGAAAAAAGCAACUGGGUCCACAGUGAAAUGUUCGUGGAAGCAUACAUAGGUUAGGCUAUUUCAAUAGACAUUGCAGUUAAUUAGCUAGAACCACAUUGUUUUUUUAUUUGUUAGCAUUAAGUAAUUUUUUUUUUUUUUUUGCAAAUUGGUUUCAUUCUUUUGAUGAAGCUGAGCAACUCUGUCCAACAAGGUUUAGUUUGUACUUGGAAACCACAAAGUAGUCUCAAAGUAUUUUAGAGGGACUCGAUAUUGACGGCAAAAGAAAAUUUGCAGCUACACGUUUGCUUCUAACAGUUCCCUCUCUAUGAAACAUUAUUUUUGGUGAUCUAAAGAAAGCAUUGUGUUUCUUGUUUGAGAUUUUACAGCUAUACUUUGCUGUGUAAUGUUAUGGCUACCUUUCUGUAAAAUGUUAGUUUUGGUGAUCUAAAUAA
rnacentral:lncRNA from 1 species